UUCAGUGCAGUUACCAAUAUGUCUUCCUUCAAAAAAGUCGUACACUGAUCCUCCAAAAAAGUCGUACACUGAUCCUCAUAUUUCCUGUUAUUGGAUGUGAUCAGCAGACUACGAAUUUUCUUCGGAGUUAGUAUUUCGGAUCGUUAUUUACCGUAAAAAAAUUGUCCUUGUCAUAAAGCGCUUCGUAAUAUGCUAUCGUAGUAUUUUAUAACAUGAUACUUAGGUUGACGGUCCGGUAGUUGGCCUUUCUAAUGCGUUUACCAAUAUGUCUCCCUUCAAAGAAGUCGUACGCUGAUCCUCAUAUUUCCUGUUAUUGGAAGGGAUCAGUAGAGGAUAAAAAUUCGUCAUAAUUAGUAUUUCAGAUCAAUUUUAGCGAAAAAAACUUGUCCAUGUCAUUUAGCGCUUUGUGAUAUCCUAUUGUAGUAUCUUAUAUAAAGACACUUAUAUCGAAGGUCAAGUGUUUAAUCUAUUAUGACACCUAAAUUGACGGUCCGGUAGUUGGCCUGUUUAAUGAGUUUGCCAAUAUAUCUCCUUUUAAAGAAUUCGUACGCUGAUCCUCAUAUUUCCUGUUAUUGGAAGGGAUCAGCAGACUACGAAUAUUCUUCGAAAUUAGUAUUUCGGAUUAUUCUUUACCGUAAAAAAAUUGUCCAUGUCAUUUAUCGCUUCGUGAUAUGCUAUCGUAGUAUUUUAUAACAUAAUACUUAGGUUGACGGUCCGGUAGUUGGCCUUCGUGUAAAUUUUGUAUAGUUUAUAUUUUAUUAACAGAUAGUUCUAAGUAAUUUAAUUCGAGAAGCUUAAGGUUUUUGAUUNAUAUGCUAUCGUAGUAUUUUAUAACAUGAUACUUAGGUUGACGGUAAUAGUAGACUGUUUCGAGAAAAUAAUAAAAUAAUUAUGAUUGUGGUCGAUGGGUCUUGCAUCUCAACAAGUGUUUAACUUUAAAGAAACUCUGAAAAUGUUUACACAAUGUUUUACACAAUACGAUAUGCAACACUUACAAAAAAUAAAAAGAAUGAUACUGAAAUCGUAUGAUUAUUUAAAGCUCCAUACACUCAAAGAAAAAAAAAAAAAACUUUAGUAGCCAUAAAGAAAUAAGACAAUAAGAAUAUGAGAAAUAGCGAUAAAGAAAAAAGAAGGAGAAACGCAGGGAGAAGAUUAAUUAAUGAGAUCUCCCGGGAUUGACUAAAAUAAUAAUAAUAAUAAGAAAAUGUAAGUUAUCUCUUAAUUAUGAUGUAUACCAUUCCAAACAUAAGUAUAGUUCCUCAUUUAAUAGUAUUCCUAUAUUAUAAUUUUUAGUAGUAUAAGUUUGUAUUUCUGUCAUGUAAAUUUUAAAACCUAGUAAUCUUACUAUUACCUAUGUCAUCUGUUAUAUAAACGCUAACAGAUUGUUAUUUUAUUUACUUAAGUUUAGAUGAUUAACUUCAGGAAAACUUUAUUAAUAAAAAAAAAAAAUUAGUAUUAUUAUUAUUUAAUUAUUAUUUUAAUUAAAAAUCCUUAAUAUACUUUCAGAAUUAUAUACCUUAUACUAAACAUUAUAAUUAAAACAUGUAUUACCUUACAAUAUAUAACAACACAUUAUUAAUGUAUUUUUACUAACCACUAUAAAAUAUAAAAUUAUAAUCAAAUCUAUUAUUAUUGUAUAUAAAUUGUCAUGCUUUAUUGCGUUAUUAUUGUAUUAUAAUAUUUCAUGACGAAAUAUGUAAAUCCUGCAGACACG